GCAUUGGUGGCCCAGUGGUAGAGCUCCCGCCUGCCACGCUGGCAGCCUGGGUUCGUAUCCCGGCCAAUGCC
rnacentral:tRNA from 1 species